CGCGUAGGUGGUUUUGUAAGUUGGAGGUGAAAUCCCCGGGCUCAACCUGGGAACUGCCUCCAAAACUGCAUGACUAGAGUACGGCAGAGGGUAGUGGAAUUUCCUGUGUAGCGGUGAAAUGCGUAGAUAUAGGAAGGAACACCAGUGGCGAAGGCGACUACCUGGACUGAUACUGACACUGAGGUGCGAAAGCGUGGGGAGCAAACA
rnacentral:rRNA from 1 species